AUUCUAUGUAGUUUAGGUUGCAUGCUUAGAAUCAUUCAAGCUCGACUUGAUUACUCUUGCUUGUGGAGUGGUUUGAAUCUUAAACAAGUGUGUUUGCCUUAAGAUAUUCGAUCAACAAGAAAUUCAAAUCUUACUUUUUCUUGGAGUGGUUCAUUUGAGGUUUUUGGAUAUAUUUAGAUUUAAGGUUCUUAUUGUUCAAUAAGGUUGUUAAAUCAAAUUCUCAAGAGUUGCAAUCAUUUAGAAUAAAAUCCACUUAAUCGGGGGAUUUUAGCAUUUGAGAACUAAGGGUUUGCGAAUUCAGGUGCUUACGAGGGUUCUUAGAUUCAAUUGGCUAGCAUUUCCUUAUCAGCUUGUGUCCUCUUAUCUGAAUUAUAUUAUGUUCAGUUUCUUACAAAAAUAGAAGUAAUGUUUAUCAAUAAUUGGCCAAUAAAAAUGUGAUUAGUCUAAAAAUGAGUGGGAUUAGGAUAUGGAGCUUAGUUCCUAUCGUGUAUAUGGGGGGAUUUCGCAUUAAUGUUAAUAUUUUUUAUACUCAAAAUUUCCCCUUCUUUUUCUCGUAAGAAGAACAAAUCUAUGGAUGACCAUGAGAAAAUAUUAUUUUCUGAUAAUAAACAGCCUCAACUCAACCAAAGCCAAGGAAGUUUUGCAUGAUUAUUAUUAUUAUUCAAUUAGAAUUAUUUAGGUGAAACAAAAGAGCUCUGAUAGUUUGGAUGAAAGCAUACCAAUAAAAAUAGCAAGUUCCUAGGAAAUCUGUGUUUUCCUUAAGAGAAACUGUUUGUUUGUCUGAUCAAAAUGUCCCCCAAAAUAAAGCUCUGGAUAUGCAGAAUUACAAAGUUUGGACUCGAACCCCAUGAGCAUGCCUCGCCCAGCAGAGGAAAAUUUUGGUGUUAGGAAAGUAGUAUAUCAAAUAGUAUUCUGGUGCAUUCCCGUGUGUCUUGCUUAUUGAAGCUUCCUUUAUGGAGUCUACUCCUGCUUUUAUGGAUAAACUUGCAGCUUGGAUUGCACAACUUAAUGUAGAGCUAGAAUUGAUUCAUUUUGAAACUGUUGUGUCUCGCUUCAUUUCAGCUGCCAUUAACAUUCGGAAGAGGUAUAACUUCCUUUUGGGAACAUUUCUAAAUUAAUGUAAUUCCAACGUUUGGUUCCACAAUGACAAUCAGCUAAUGAACUCUGCUCUACUCAGUGUAAAAAAAUUUCUAGGUUUCUUGAUGAUUGCUCGAAGAUGUAAUGCACACAUCUCCGUCUCAUUAGUUAACGAUGGUAUAAUGUCCAAUCUUCAGGAAAUCACCCUAUCUAGCAACUAUGCCAAGUGCUAAAUGGUCUAUCAGUGGAAUGUUCAAAUUAGCCUUCAAGCAAGUAGUAACGGAUGGCCUAUUGAGCCCUACUUGAAAUUCUGUGUCCAAUUUCCCUCGCGCCAAAUCCCCAUUAGUCACCUCAUACCCAACAUUAGAAAUUUGCUGCAAUGGUUCCCAAAUUCAUUAAGCAGCCUAAACCAUUCAUCAUGGUAGGUAGUACAGACCAUUAUAUCUAUGUGAAGUACAUGAUCAUGCAGGUUGGAUUUGGUCUUGCAAAUAAUCUAGUAUCGAUGGAAUGACUUCUUCACAUCUCUUGCAUGUUGCAAGGAAACUUAUUGUCCUAUUCUUUAUAUAUGCUUCUUAGUGAGGUGACACUUCAUUAUUGUGUGCAAAACAAAUUGACGGAGCACAUUUAUAUUCUGAUACUAUAUUGUUCAUGUGACAAAUGAUGCAAGGAAAAAAAGGUUGAAGUUUUCACUGGAUGGAAAAUCUUCUCAUCUGAGAAUGAACUCAACAAGAUUGUGAUGAAGGUUAUUCAUUCAUGAGGUUUAAUUUAACUCUUGUGCGCCAUGAAUGAGGCCAUAACA